UCUCCUUUUUCUAAUCAGUGAAACUAAUCUUCCCGUGAAGAAGCGGGAAUAUCCCCAUAAGACGAGAAGACCCCAUGGAGCUUCAAACCCAAUUACACCCCUAACCCCUAUAACUACUUAACCCUUAGGAUUCUGUAUUAUUGGUUUUAGGUUGGGGCGACCACGGAGUACAACAAAACCUCCACAAUGAACGGAACUACUUCCUCAUCUGAGAGCUACAUCUCUAAGAAUUAAAAUAUUAACAUAAAAUGAUCCAUUUUUGAUCAAUGAACCAAGUUACCCUGGGGAUAACAGCGCAAUCCAUUUCAAGAGCCCCUAUCGACAAAUGGG
rnacentral:rRNA from 1 species